GGCGGCGGCCCCGCUCGCCUCUAUAGAGAGAUGGAAGCGGAGAAGGGGCGAGCGGUGACCGCAGGGGAAAGGGAGGCCUGGAUGGACCUCGCUGUAAACAUGGCUAAAGAAGCACUAGAGAGUGGUGAAGUACCUGUUGGUUGCCUCGUGGUCUACAAUAAUGAGAUCAUAGGAAAGGGAAAGAAUGAAGUUAAUGAAACUAAAAAUGCUACUCGCCAUGCAGAAAUGGUAGCAAUUGAUCAGGUCAUGGACUGGUGUCGUCAGAACAAGAAGGAACCCAAGGAAGUAUUUGCGAACACAGUGCUAUAUGUCACUGUAGAGCCCUGUAUAAUGUGUGCAGCUGCUCUGCGAAUGAUGAGUAUCCUUUGGAGAAUUAUCCAUUGGUAUGUUAAUUUCAUCUCACGUAUCGGUUGCAAACAAGCUAACAGAGGGCAGCUCUAUGUUGACAUGAGGCCUGUGUCAUUGGGUCUAAGGGGAUUUGUUUGUGCAGAGAUGAUGGGCGUAAGGAGAGCUGCGCUGGACAAGUUCAAAGACGUAACUGGUCCAGCAUCUGUUUCCUACUGUGCUGAACCAGAUCCUAGGAAAGCCAACAAGUAGAGCGCAUUGCUAUGUCCCUCUCCCUUUGUUAUUCCCCAGGUUCUGCACCUAUGGAGAAGAAGUUUAAUUUAGCAAGUAUUUGUGUGGGUGAGUCUAAGCAAGGAAUGGGUGCCGGGUGUAGCCAAUGCUACAAUGAAGCAGGGUGAGGCAGCUUGCAUCAGUUGGCAGUCUUUGGGGUUAUCAUGACUUAGUUUGUAAUUAUUACCUUCCCUGGGUGGUGCUUGUGCCUCAGGGGCCAAAGUGUAUUGUGCCAUCUCUGGGUUAGGAUAGGGUUGCUGUAUUUCAAUAAGUAAAAUUCCUGACACCCGCAAAGUUGUUGAGCAAGCAUAACCUGCCCACCCAGCUGGUUUGCUCUUGAGGACCCCAAAAUUGUUUUGCUAUUUUGGAAACAAAUCCACAUUGUUGAGCUUUUUUGGGGGGGAACCUCCCCCCCAAUAGUGACUUUAAGCUUUUGGAGCUGUUUCCACUGCUUCCCCCCCCCAUCACAUUGCCAUACGUCUGGGUUUUCCCUGACAUUUUGGCAAUUCCCCCAACACAAUUUUUACACCCAAAAACCAGGACAUGUCAGGAAUUUUCCCACCAUAUGGCAAGCCUAGGUUAGGAAAUUUGGAAAGGAUACAGUAGUGGUAGUUACUGCUCUCAGAUUGUGGGCAGAGGGGAACAGUGAAUUAGCAGCAAAGGAGUUGAAUUGAGUGGGGGAAGUUUUGCCCAGAGAUAUGACCAGGCAGUAGUGUGUCUGUGGAAAAGAGGAGUUUAUAGCAUAUGUGAGAAAGGAGGGAGGCAUGGGUUUGAGACCAGCACAACUAUAUAGCCUAUUAAAUGAGGGUAAUUCUAUUCUAUAUUCCUUCUUUUCUUAACUUACAUAUAUAAAUCCCACUGGUUGUAUAUGGCUGCCAAAAUGAACGAUUUGGAGGCUGUGGUUCGGUUUUGAACAUCUCUUCUGCCAGCUUAACGGACACAGGGGAACCAUUCCAGUUGAACACAGUGAUAUCAGAAGUCACAUCUGCUGAAGUUCUUUAUGCUACUAAAGAGUCAGAUAACCUCUUUGGGAUACAAACUGGUUAAUCUGAGAGGCCUCAUGAACAAAAUAUUCCAA